rnacentral:tRNA from 1 species
GCCUGGGUGGCUCAGUGGGUUGAGCAUCUGACUUUGACUCAGGUCAUGAUCUCACAGUUUGUGAGUUCAAGCCCCGCAUCGGGUU